GAUCAUCAAGAACCAGGGACAUGACUUUGCAGUUGACUUUUGGUCCCUUGGCAUCCUGAUCUAUGAGCUAUUGGUGGGAAGCCCUCCAUUUUCAAGUUCAGAGCCUCAGAAGAUUUAUGCCAAGAUUUUGGACGGGGUGCUUAAGUAUCCACCUUACAUGAGCGAGGCAGCCAAGUCCAUUAUCAGCAAAUUAUGCAGACCUCGGCCAGGUCAGAGGUUAGGAAACACCAAGAAUGGAAUCAAAGAUGUCCGGCAUCACAGGUGGUUCAGUAGUAUGAACUGGCACAAGCUGCGAGUAGGUCAGCUCGACGCCCCCACAGUCCGGCUCAUACGCAAGG